rnacentral:lncRNA from 1 species
GGCCAUCAUAAUUCUACAACUCAAAAGAUGGGCAUCAGCAAUCAAUAGAACUUGCCAAAACGUUUAGAUGCAUAGAAUUAUAAUAACUGCUCACAUCAACAAAGCAAUCUAACAUGAUCGUUAACACUUAAACUUCGUACACCUCUUUUGACGACGGUCAGCACAUCUACAUGAAUAUAUCUGCAUAGAUAGCCAUUUGGCCAUCAUCUUAAUAGACAUUGAUUAUUCAAUCUGAAUAAAUAUCCUUGCAGCACCAACACAACCUGAACUAUAACCAAAAGAUGCACAGACAUACAAACAGAAAGGCAAGCAAGCAGGUAGGCACGGAUGCAUGCAUAUAAUC